rnacentral:rRNA from 1 species
AAGCGGUGGAGCAUUGUGGUUUAAUUCGAAGCAACGCGAAGAACCUUACCAGGUCUUGACAUCCCUGACAACCAAGAGAUUGGGCGUUCCCCUUCGGGGGACAGGGUGACAGGUGGUGCAUGGUUGUCGUCAGCUCGUGUCGUGAGAUGUUGGGUUAAGUCCCGCAACGAGCGCAACCCUCGCCUCUAGUUGCCAGCAUUCGGUUGGGCACUCUAGAGGGACUGCCGGCGACAAGUCGGAGGAAGGUGGGAUGACGUCAAAUCAUCAUGCCCCUUAUGACCUGGGCUACACACGUGCUACAAUGGGCGGUACAAAGGGCUGCGAACCCGCGAGGGGGAGCGAAUCCCAAAAAGCCGCUCUCAGUUCGGAUUGCAGGCUGCAACUCGCCUGCAUGAAGCCGGAAUCGCUAGUAAUCGCGGAUCAGCAUGCCGCGGUGAAUACGUUCCCGGGCCUU